AGUUAAUGAGCUUGAAUAAGCAUAUGUUUUGAAAACAUAAUAUAGAGAUUAUAAAUUUUCUAUUGACUU
rnacentral:tRNA from 1 species